rnacentral:rRNA from 1 species
CGAGCGAAGCGGCUGAAUUGAUUCUUCGGAUGAUUUUCAGUUGACUGAGCGGCGGACGGGUGAGUAACGCGUGAGUGACCUGCCCCAUACCGGGGGAUAACAGCUGGAAACGGCUGCUAAUACCGCAUAAGCGCACAGAGCUGCAUGGCUCGGUGUGAAAGACUCCGGUGGUAUGGGAUGGGCCCGCGUCUGAUUAGGCAGUUGGCGGGGUAACGGCCCACCAAACCGACGAUCAGUAGCCGGCCUGAGAGGGCGACCGGCCACAUUGGGACUGAGACACGGCCCAAACUCCUACGGGAGGCAGCAGUGGGGAAUAUUGCACAAUGGGGGAAACCCUGAUGCAGCGACGCCGCGUGAGCGAAGAAGUAUUUCGGUAUGUAAAGCUCUAUCAGCAGGGAAGAUAAUGACGGUACCUGACUAAGAAGCCCCGGCUAACUACGUGCCAGCAGCCGCGGUAAUACGUAGGGGGCAAGCGUUAUCCGGAUUUACUGGGUGUAAAGGGAGCGUAGACGGCAAGGCAAGUCUGAUGUGAAAACCCAGGGCUUAACCCUGGGACUGCAUUGGAAACUGUCUGGCUCGAGUGCCGGAGAGGUAAGCGGAAUUCCUAGUGUAGCGGUGAAAUGCGUAGAUAUUAGGAAGAACACCAGUGGCGAA